UACGGACGGCCCCUUGUCUGUGGUUCCUCCUCGCGCCUCUUCGUCGUCAUCCUCUAUGAGUGUGGUGCAGUGCAUUACAAGUUGAAAUUAUUAUUUCCAAAACAUCACUUGUCAUGUACUUUUUUUUCUUUUUUUAAGGCCACGGUGUUGUGACAAACGAGUUGAGUGUUGUGCGUGUGUGUGUUAUUUCUGCUUGUGCAGGCGCAGCAGCAGAAAUCACCAAAUAAUUUGCCCAGAUAAAGGCGAGAAAAAAAACAAUGGCCAUUUGCUACAAGUUCGUUGUUCAACUGAAGGAUAUCUGUCGGAAGGACACAUCACGGAGUAUGCAUCCCCAAGGCAGUUAUUUGAAAGUGGACCGGUCUCAUAACGAUGACAAUACAGUGGUGAACGCUUUUGGGGAAAAUGUUACAUUCUAAUGCAGAGCAACAUAGCAGUGUGCCUAUAUAAGAAGAAGGUGUUCCAUCAUAAUAGAGCGCCUGUCAUAAUUACCGAAGAAGACACUGAGUGUACUGCGAGCGAUGGUUUCAAAUAGACACCGCAGCCCUGUUAUGUUGCCGCUCGCCGUUUCCUCCCCGCUCGCGUGAGCGUUGUGAUGGUGCUCCGAGCAAGAGUCAAACAGCCCACGUUGCCACAGCUGGGGAGACGUAGUCUCGUGCGAGUCACUUAAACACUCAUGAAGAGGGUCCUGUCAGAAGACGUUUUGCCAAAUACCUCCUUGCUGCUGAGAAAUACUUGUGUGUACAAAAGGAGGGAACCCUAAAUAGCCGGACAUGGCCACGCGCGAGUAUAAACAACACUCAAAUAUUGGAAGACGUCAACAGCCUCCUUUCUGUACUGUCUUCUCCUGGGAGCUCCAGGAUGGACCAUCCGUGCCCCCACCGUGCCAAGAUCUGCAGGUCACGGAUUGGCCUAUUCACCCAUGGCCAGCCAGGUCCACCUUACAACACAGAUAAGUGACAACCUGGAGGGAAAUCAUACUCGACUACGAGUGAUCCCAGAAGAUCCCCUGGUGUCGCAGGUUUCCUUGGCUCCCACCCUCCAGUUUUUCCAGCUGCAAUAAGAGAGAAGAAAGCAUGAACGUAUUGGAGAAAUGAAAACAAACUCGGAAAGCAGCACAGUUACAAUGCCUAGCCUACCAUCGGGUGAAAUACCCCAGACGGCCUAUGAAAAACCGGAAUACAUCAUGAGCCUGUGGAAUUCGUGCUACUUAAAGUGACCGAAUUUCUGGGAGAGAAUUUCUGGCCAGCUCCUCCCUCCGCCAGCUCCACCCACUAUUAAAAUAGCCACGUCCACUCAGUCACUAUCCCGCCCACACAGCGCGUAGUGUCCUCCUCACUCAAUCUGACUUUGGCCCCACGCACUGUUCAUGGGUCACGUCCACUCCCCCUGCCAACCCCACCCACCACUCCGGUAGCCCCACCCUUUCGCACGCAUCACCGGUUGAAUAGAGACGCCAGAAAGGACUUAAAUCGGGACAAUAUUCUGGUUUUCACAAAUGCUUUGGGACGCCGGGAAUGUUUUUUGUGAAGCUGGGACUGUCUCAGCCAAACCGGACCAUGAUUUAUUUUAAGUAUGUUGAAUUUCUUUCGCGCCCUACAUAGCUAACCUUGUUAAUCGGAGGUGUGGCAAGACACUGGGUUUUUAAUUUUUUUUAAUGUACCGCUGAAUAUUUAUUCCAUUAAACACGUGUCGCAAAAUCAACAUGACGGAUACCAAUUUACACUGAAAAAUAUAAAUAAUCUACUCACUGACAGAAUAAAACGUCAUACAUCCUAUAUUUAUUUUCUGAAUAAACGCAUUUAUGAUGCAGUGGAUGCGAACAAAAACUAUAGAACUGAGCUACAUGUGACAAAUUCCAUCCUAUCAGAGACUGCUUUAAUUAGGAAGCUACUGCAAAAACAGCACAUUCAUAAAAAGUACACUUACACCAAUGGCUGUUAACAGGACACAAACACAUUUCAGAAAAAUGAAACAUCGCUCAAGUUGCACAAAAUAAAAUAGGGCAAUUUAGUUUAGCAAGGAUGACGUUAUUGCUUCUGCUUGUUAAUAUACAUUUAGUGAGUUUGACGUUUGAUUUUUAUAUUACAUUUUGGUAAAAAUGUCCAGGACAGAAAAUAAAUACGGUAGAAAUCCAAAAAAGUUGCAAUUCAAUAGCCCACGAAUUCCUGUAAUUUGCUGACUAUCGGCGGUUCACGAGCGCUCCCAUAAUCCACGGCGCACUGCGGUGGAUCGCAAACCGCGAUGCGUAGAAGUGAGCAAGGCUCACGGAGAGCUGCAGAGCCACGCUGCAGCAAGAGCGGAGGUAAGAUUUUAUUUUUUUUACGAGCAGAGAACCCAUUGCACUGCAACGGGAAAUAACAGACAGCUGUCAUUCAUAAUCUGAUUUUUCAUGUUCGGAAAUGCCAAGAUAAUAUCUAUUGUGUGUUUUUUUAUAUAUAUCGUCUAGGAUGUAAAUA